rnacentral:rRNA from 1 species
GAUGAACGCUGGCGGCGUGCUUAACACAUGCAAGUCGAACGAGAAGUGAAGACGGAAACCUUCGGGCGGAAGGCUUUAUUUCGAGUGGCGGACGGGUGAGUAACGCGUGGGUAACCUGCCUCAUACAGGGGGAUAACAGUUGGAAACGACUGUUAAUACCGCAUAAGACCACAGCACCGCAUGGUGCGGGGGUAAAAACUCCGGUGGUAUGAGAUGGACCCGCGUUCGAUUAGCCAGUUGGCGGGGUAACGGCCCACCAAAGCGACGAUCGAUAGCCGAUCUGAGAGGAUGACCGGCCACAUUGGGACUGAGACACGGCCCAAACUCCUACGGGAGGCAGCAGUGGGGAAUAUUGCACAAUGGGGGAAACCCUGAUGCAGCGACGCCGCGUGAGUGAAGAAGUAUUUCGGUAUGUAAAGCUCUAUCAGCAGGGAAGAAAAUGACGGUACCUGAGUAAGAAGCCCCGGCUAACUACGU